rnacentral:misc_RNA from 1 species
AGAGAGAAAAAAAAAAUAUUAUGAUUCUAUAUUUUUGUAAUGAAAUGUUUAUUUUGAGGAGAGGCAGCUACCAUGUCUCUAAUGAAAUCUAUAUUUUUAUAACGAAAUCUUUAUUUUGAGUAACGUAUUAUUGAAAAAAUAAAAUAUUAGUUUUCAAUUAAUACAUUACUCAAAAUAAAGAUUUCAUUACAAAAUUGCGGAUUUCAUAGCCUUUUUUAUUUACAUAACUAGAUUUUCUUCCCCUUUCUAACAUAGCAUAAUAUAUACUAAUAAGAAACCG